AAAUUUAGAUGUUUCUUUUUAUCAUUAAAUUUAAAAGACAUAAAAGAAAUGGAACCUCAAAAGUAGACUGACUUGCUAUGACUGACCAGAAAUAUUUAGAAAGAUAGUGCCUUUCAAGGCUUAAAGCUGGCAUUCUAAACUCUUUGGAAGAUGAAAUAUUUCCAAGGCGACACAAUACAAACUCCGAUGGGUACUGUAUGCUCCAAAGCCACUGGUCUGGAGCUCGCAGGAAGCCAGAUGUUCCUGGGGGUGGUGGUUGGGCCUAAGGAGCAUGAGUUCCCCAUUUGUCUUCUGACAAAUGUCUGAGCAGAAUUCAGGCUGCAAUGGCUUUGUAGAUCCUGCCCAUUGUAGCAUAAUUGCAUGUGUUUAACCAUGGGGUAUGUAGAAAAUAUGUAUUCUGAAUAGGAAAUUUUAACUCCUCAUAGUGACAUCACCAUCACAAAGUACCACAUUUAGGGAUAUAAAAAAUAGAUGAGUCCAUAUGUCCAUUGAGUACAGUCUCUAUGGCUGGUCUCACUUUUUCCUUUAUUCUAAAGUAAAGGAAAUUGUUCUGACAGCCUCAAAUUAAUGUCCUUGAUUACAGUAAAAUCAAUAUGUACCUGCACUCUUAAAACCCAACUAAGAAGUCCAAAAUGUAGGGUAAAUGCAAAGGAAAUUAAAGGAGAGGGCAUUUAUACAUUGUACAGUGGACUAGGAAAACGGAAGCUAAUUUACAUGUGGCAUUUCUAACCUAGUACUGCCAAGAAGCCUACCAUGGAUUCUAGAGCUAUCUGUAAAGUAUAGAUAAAAAUAGUACACAUAGCUAAGAACCAAACUAUCAAGUUAAGCCAUGAUAAAUGUGGUCACCUCAUCUGAAGCCUUUAUUGUUUAGUCUAAAGCCAGAGGAUUCUUGAUCUCAAGGAAACCAAAGCUGUUGGAAAUAAACCUCACCUAUGGAUUCUCUUAAGGCAUUUUGACCCAACAGUUACAUUUUAUGUUUUCUUAUGCCUGCUAUUGCCUCUUUAUUUGAAAAUGCUCCAAUAGUUAGUGAACAAUAUGCUUUUAGAACCCAGUUUUCAUGGCAUCCAUUUGCUAAGCUAUUUUACCUUACUCUAAGAGAGUCUGGGUUAAAAGUUAGACAUUUUUAUGCAUUGCAUAUUUUUCACUCCAAAAGAGCAAUAGUCCUAAAGAUAGCAACCUCGUAGUGACUAAUCAGUAUGAGCUCCUAUUCUUUGUGUUCAUGAAGGGGCUUCAGAGCUCAAGGUUUACAUGGAAACAAGAUAGAAGUCCAUAUAUUAUUUGAUUUUCAUUAUCUAAUAUCUGAUAAUGAUGUCAGACUGGCAUUCUCUAAUACUUACUGAUUGUUGCAAAGUCUUCUAACUUACCUACCCUUUGCUUUAGAGUUCAUUCCCCUUCAUACAGCCCAACACCUGUACUAAGAACCAGAUAAAAGAUGUAUCAAACUAUACUAUAAAUUGUAUGUAAAGUUGUUUAUACAUGGAUCCAAUCUAUAAAGUAAGACUACAAGAAAAAAUUCUAUAUAGCAUGUAAAAGUAUCUUUUAUUCACCUGAUAUAAUUGUCUUGGUGGCCUACUGCUUAAUAAGCUUAACUUUUUAGUUUUUUUCUGAACUCUGGAUUGUUCAACUCAGAUGUUCUGCAUCCCCUCUAAGAUGACUGAUUCAAUAUGGCUUCUCUUGGCUUCUGACUGAAUUGCUGUAUCUGGCCUCAAACUAACUCUGGUAAUCCGUUCUUGUGAGAGUUGGUGUAUCCUAUCUCUGACUCAUUCUGUGAAAUCUUUCUCUGAUUGCUCACUUUGUCUGCCCCUUGAUUACAGUUUACUUUAAAAUAUGGUUGCUUCCUUCUACAAAUUGACCUUGCCUACAUUGUUUGGGAUUAAAGGUUUGUACUAAGGGCAUGUCUGAAUUCUAGCCAGAUCAUCAGGUGGAAAGAACAGAGGCCACCAGAACACUCCAGUUUCACCACACUGUGGAGCAUAAAUGUUUUCUAUUUAAAGUUCCUAUGACUGAGAUGGGAUUUAUCAGUCCUGGAACACUUUAUUCACCACGUCCCCAUUCAAUCAUUUAGUAGGUAUCAAGCACCUGUCCUGUUGCUGGCACUGUUCUGAUUACUGGCGAUACCGUAAGAAAUUGAAGACACCAUCCCCAACUCCUGCCCCCAAAAGCUUACCUUGUGAUAGGAGAGAAAGGCAACAAUUGAGUAAACAGAAAACAUAUUUUAAAUAAUUAGAUUUAUGAAGAAAAUAAUGAAGUGUAAGAUAGACAGCAGGGAUAACCUCUAGAGAAAAUGCUAUUUGGAAUGGUAUGUAGGAAAGGUUUCAUUGAGAAAGAUACAGUUGGAAAGAUAAUUUAAGUAAUGAGAAGAAGCUUGGCAUAUGGCAAUCAGGGGAAAGAGUAUUUUAAUCAGAGGAAGCAAAAACAAUUUAAAUAUUCC
rnacentral:lncRNA from 1 species